rnacentral:misc_RNA from 1 species
GCAAACUUGGUCAUUUAGAGGAAGUAAAAGUCGUAACAAGGUAACCGUAGGUGAACCUGCGGUUGGAUCAUUAGAAAAUUUUGGAGCUUCCGCUUCAGAAACACUGUGUGCACCGUUUUCUGUCUCUGGCAGGACCAGUGAGCAGCGAUGCUCUCCCCUGCCAAAGGAGUGGGGGCUGCUGCUUUGCGGCGGCCUCGCUUCUACUUUGAAUAACUCUUUGUCUGUUUGUAUUUUGUCUGAAAUAUUCUUCACCUAGCGUGAGAAAUUGAAAACAACUUUUGGCAACGGAUCUCUUGGCUCUCGCAUCGAUGAAGAACGCAGC